AGAGUUUGAUCCUGGCUCAGAUUGAACGCUGGCGGCAUGCUUUACACAUGCAAGUCGAACGGCAGCACGGGGGCAACCCUGGUGGCGAGUGGCGAACGGGUGAGUAAUAUAUCGGAACAUAUCCGGAAGUGGGGGAUAACGUACCGAAAGGUACGCUAAUACCGCAUAUGCCCUGAGGGGGAAAGGAGGGGAUCGUAAGACCUUUCGCUUUCGGAGUGGCCGAUAUCGGAUUAGCUAGUUGGUGAGGUAAAGGCUCACCAAGGCGACGAUCCGUAGCUGGUCUGAGAGGACGACCAGCCACACUGGAACUGAGACACGGUCCAGACUCCUACGGGAGGCAGCAGUGGGGAAUUUUGGACAAUGGGGGAAACCCUGAUCCAGCCAUGCCGCGUGAGUGAAGAAGGCCUUCGGGUUGUAAAGCUCUUUCAGCCGGAAAGAAAGCGCACAGGUUAAUACCUUGUGUGGAUGACGGUACCGGAAGAAGAAGCACCGGCCAACUACGUGCCAGCAGCCGCGGUAAUACGUAGGGUGCGAGCGUUAAUCGGAAUUACUGGGCGUAAAGCGUGCGCAGGCGGUUUUGUAAGACCAAUGUGAAAUCCCCGGGCUUAACCUGGGAACUGCAUAGGUGACUGCAAGGCUAGAGUACGGCAGAGGGGGGUAGAAUUCCACGUGUAGCAGUGAAAUGCGUAGAUAUGUGGAGGAAUACCGAUGGCGAAGGCAGCCCCCUGGGUCGAUACUGACGCUCAUGCACGAAAGCGUGGGGAGCAAACAGGAUUAGAUACCCUGGUAGUCCACGCCCU
rnacentral:rRNA from 1 species